rnacentral:misc_RNA from 1 species
GAUGAAGAACGUAGUGAAAUGCGAUACUUGGUGUGAAUUGCAGAAUCCCGUGAACCAUCGAGUCUUUGAACGCAAGUUGCGCCCGAAGCCAUCAGGUUGAGGGAACGUCUGCCUGGGCGUCACAUAUCGUUGCCCAAUGCCUAUUGCAGUGCAAUAGGAAUUUCUAGGGCGAAUGAUGGCUUCCCGUGAGCGUUGUUGCCUCGCGGUUGGUUGAAAAUCGAGUCCUUGGUAGGGUGUGCCAUGGUAGAUGGUGGUCGAGUUAGAACGAUACCGAUCAUGUGCAUGCUCCCCAAAAUAUGGCCUCUAUGACCCACACGCGUCUUUUGACGCUCAUGACGAGACCUCAGGUCAGGCGGGGCUACCCGCUGAAUUUAAGCAUAUCAAUAAGCGGAGGA